rnacentral:misc_RNA from 1 species
AAGUCGUAACAAGGUCUCCGUUGGUGAACCAGCGGAGGGAUCAUUACCGAGUUUACAACUCCCAAACCCAAUGUGAACCAUACCAAACUGUUGCCUCGGCGGGGUCACGCCCCGGGUGCGUCGCAGCCCCGGAACCAGGCGCCCGCCGGAGGGACCAACCAAACUCUUUACUGUAGUCCCCUAGCGGACGUUAUUUCUUACAGCUCUGAGCAAAAAUUCAAAAUGAAUCAAAACUUUCAACAACGGAUCUCUUGGUUCUG